UGGGGAAUAUUGGACAAUGGGCGCAAGCCUGAUCCAGCCAUGCCGCGUGUGUGAAGAAGGCCUUUUGGUUGUAAAGCACUUUAAGCGAGGAGGAGGCUACUUGGAUUAAUACUCUAGGAUAGUGGACGUUACUCGCAGAAUAAGCACCGGCUAACUCUGUGCCAGCAGCCGCGGUAAUACAGAGGGUGCGAGCGUUAAUCGGAUUUACUGGGCGUAAAGCGUGCGUAGGCGGCUUCUUAAGUCGGAUGUGAAAUCCCUGAGCUUAACUUAGGAAUUGCAUUCGAUACGGGGAAGCUAGAGUAUGGGAGAGGAUGGUAGAAUUCCAGGUGUAGCGGUGAAAUGCGUAGAGAUCUGGAGGAAUACCGAUGGCGAAGGCAGCCAUCUGGCCUAAUACUGACGCUGAGGUACGAAAGCAUGGGGAGCAAACAGG
rnacentral:rRNA from 1 species